CUUAAUGUUAUAUCAUCAGCUCGUGCCGUAAGGUGUUGGGUUAAGUCUCGCAACGAGCGCAACCCUCGUGUUCAGUUGCCAACGUUGAGUUUGGAACCCUAAAUAGACUGUCGGUGAUAACUCGGAGGAAGAUGAGGAAUUGAGGAUGACAUCAAGG
rfam:Beta vulgaris subsp. vulgaris Bvchr1.sca001.con0038.1, whole genome shotgun sequence.